ACGGCUCAGUAACACGUGGAUAACCUACCCUUGAGACGGGGAUAAACCCGGGAAACUGGGUAUAAUACCCGAUAGAUCUCGACUGCUGGAAUGCAUCGAGGCCGAAGGCUCCGGCGCCUGAGGAUGGGUCUGCGGCCUAUCAGGUAGUAGUGGGUCUAAAGUACCUACUAGCCUACGACGGGUACGGGUUGUGAGAGCAAGAGCCCGGAGAUGGAUUCUGAGACACGAAUCCAGGCCCUACGGGGUGCAGCAGGCGCGAAAACUUUACAAUGCCGGCAACGGCGAUAAGGGGACCUCGAGUGCCAGGUUACAAAUCUGGCUGUCGUGAUGCCUAAAAAGCAUUGCAUAGCAAGGGCCGGGCAAGACCGGUGCCAGCCGCCGCGGUAACACCGGCGGCUCGAGUGGUAACCGUUAUUAUUGGGUCUAAAGGGUCUGUAGCCGGCCGGAUAAGUCUCUUGGGAAAUCCAGCAGCUCAACUGUUGGGCUUCCAGGAGAUACUGUCUGGCUCGAGGCCGGGAGAGGUGAGAGGUACUUCAGGGGUAGGGGUGAAAUCUUGUAAUCCUUGAAGGACCACCAGUGGCGAAGGCGUCUCACCAGAACGGACCUGACGGCAAGGGACGAAAGCUAGGGGCACGAACCGGAUUAGAUACCCGGGUAGUCCUAGCCGUAAACGAUACUCGCUAGGUGUCGGCCACGGUGCGACCGUGGUCGGUGCCGUAGGGAAGCCGUGAAGCGAGCCACCUGGGAAGUACGGCCGCAAGGCUGAAACUUAAAGGAAUUGGCGGGGGAGCAC
rnacentral:rRNA from 1 species